rnacentral:rRNA from 1 species
CACCAGGUUGAUUCUGCCUGACGUGGACGCUAGUCUCACAGAUUUAGCCAUGCAUGUGUAAGCGAAGCUUAUAGUGGAGCGGUAUACGGCUCAGUAACGGGCGAUUUAUUUGUUCUCCUGGGACGGACAACAUCGGGAAACUGAUGGGAAAACGUCUAAGUUGCAGUUAAUUGACUGUAACGUAAACCUUUGUGUGCAGGAGAGUAAGAUGCCAUCCUAUCAGUUAGUAAGUAGGGUAAGGGCCUACUUAGACGAAGACGGGUACGGGGAAUGAGGGUUUGAUUCCGGAGAGGGAGCCUGAGAGAUGGCUACCAGGACCAAGGUCAGCAGCAGGCGCGAAAAUUAUCGAAGCCCGCCUAGGGGCGAUAGUGAGGAGACGUGUAUAACGAAGUACGUGUAAAGAACGUGCUAAUAACUGGAGGUCAAGUCUGGUGCCAGCAUCCGCGGUAAUUCCAGCUCCAGGGGUGUAUAUGAUGAUUGCUGCGAUUAAAAAGUCCGUAGUCAAUCUGACUGACUGACCUGCAAUGUGAUUGAUUAAAGAACGAGCAGGGUUAGGAAAGCAGAGAAUUAGGAGCGACCGAGGGCUAGAGUAUUGAAUGGCGAGAGGUGAAAUUUGAUGACCCAUUCAGGAGUGACAAAGGCGAAGGCACUAGUCAAGGGCGAAUCCGAUGAUCAAGGACGUAGGCUAGAGUUUCGAAAACGAUUAGAGACCGGAGUAGUUCUAGCAGUAAACUAUGCCGACGCCGUGGUAUCAACAAUGGUAUUGCGGAAGAGAAAUCAAGUAAGGCUUUGGGGAGAGUACGCGCGCAAGCGAUAAAUUUAAAGGAAAUU